AAUAUACUCCCUCCGUUCGGAAUUACUUGUCGCGGAAAUGGAUAAAAAUGGAUGGAUCUAGAACUAAAAUACGUCUAGAUACAUACAUUUCUCCGACAAGUAUUUUCGGACGAAGGGAGUAUAUC
rnacentral:pre_miRNA from 1 species